AAAAACCAUUAAAUUUCUUUUUAAAAAAAUUUAAUAGCUCUUUUAAAAUAAUGACAAAUAUUGAAAAAACAAAACAACAUUGGAAAAGAUAAAAAUACAUACUUUGCCAAAAGGAAAAAAACCCACAUAGAAAGUUCUUUUAAAAAGUGAAAAAAAUAUAAAGGAAAAAAAAGGUGUAUCGUUUUAGCAGUAACUAGUUAAAAUUCUAUUAGAUAAAAUAGUUAUUUAUUGCAAUUUUUAUUCAAGUACACACAGACACACACAUAAUUUAUGUAUCAUUUUAAGUUGUAUUUUGUUUAAAUGAGCCCUGUAUUUCAUUAUAUUUGUCCAUACAAAUUCUACAUCUAUAGGCAAUUCACUUACAGAUGUCAAGUGCUGUCAGGCCCUCAAUCCAUUGAAGGAAAAGCCAUACAUUUACCUUACCAAUGUUAUAAUGUCAGUUAUUUAGUUAUAAUAAAGACACAGAGAAGCCAUUGCCCAGUUGUCAAAUUCUAAGGACAAGGUACAUAGUUCAAAAGAAUACUAUUGACUGAAAAUUCUAGUUUUUUCUCAUAUGAUUAUAUUUAUGUAAUUUAGUACUUUCUCCCAAAACUUGGUAAGUGCAAGACUGUAAAAAGGUGUGUUUUAAAAAACCAUUACUUUAUCUCCAACAAAAUGUUGUUUUUAAAAAUCCUUUUCUAUACAUACAUAACAAAUUCUAAGUAAUAUUUUUUGUUCUAUAAGUCAUAAUUUGAAUCCAGUGGCACUCUUGCUACAGAAGUUCAAAUAGUCUCUAAUUGUCUAGGCAACAGAAGAAUUUCAAAAUUAUUUAUUCCAUUAAUUUCUUAUGAUCUUCAUAUCAUAUUGAAUAAUUGAUAAGAAGUAUCUUUUAAAAUGAAUAACAGUUUUUUUUUAAAUGUAAAGGAUUUAACAAGUUGUUCUAAUAUAUCAAGUGUCUCAAAGCUAAACAUACUGGUGAUCCAAUGUUGUUAACAAACAAUGUAACUGUAAAUAUAACCAUGAAGUAAAUAAUUUUUGUCUUUUAACACAGACCGUUAAGUUUCAUCAUCCUCUAUCAGUUGGUACAAAUUCAAUAGCUCUCUUUCCAUUCAAUUUUUCCAUAUUACACCAUUACAAAGUAUCAUCACUGAGAAGACUCUGUUUUUUGCCACCACUUCUUUAAUCUGAGAGUGUGAUGACUCGGUGAAAGGACUGGAACA